rnacentral:lncRNA from 1 species
GUCUCUCUGUUGUCCCGGCCCGCAGAAGCCCUGGUUCUACGACCUGCGGGAGGUGUGGAAGGGCUACCCCAUCCAGAGCAUGCUGCCCUCCCAGUACUGGUACUACAUGAUCGAGCUCUCCUUCUACUGGUCGCUGCUCUUCAGCAUCGCCUCCGACGUCAAGCGCAAGGACUUCAAGGAGCAAAUCAUCCACCACGUGGCCACCAUCAUCCUCAUCAGCUUCUCCUGGUUCGCCAACUACAUCCGCGCGGGGACG